rnacentral:rRNA from 1 species
UGGGGAAUAUUGCACAAUGGGCGCAAGCCUGAUGCAGCCAUGCCGCGUGUGUGAAGAAGGCCUUCGGGUUGUAAAGCACUUUCAGCGGGGAGGAAGGCGAUAAGGUUAAUAACCUUGUCGAUUGACGUUACCCGCAGAAGAAGCACCGGCUAACUCCGUGCCAGCAGCCGCGGUAAUACGGAGGGUGCAAGCGUUAAUCGGAAUUACUGGGCGUAAAGCGCACGCAGGCGGUUGAUUGAGUCAGAUGUGAAAUCCCCGGGCUUAACCCGGGAAUUGCAUCUGAUACUGGUCAGCUAGAGUCUUGUAGAGGGGGGUAGAAUUCCAUGUGUAGCGAUGAAAUGCGUAGAGAUGUGGAGGAAUACCGGUGGCGAAGGCGGCCCCCUGGACAAAGACUGACGCUCAGGUGCGAAAGCGUGGGGAGCAAACAGG